rnacentral:rRNA from 1 species
AGAGUUUGAUCCUGGCUCAGAACGUACGCUGGCGGCACGCCUAAUACAUGCAAGUCGAACGGAGUAGCAAUACUUAGUGGCAGACGGGUGAGUAACAUGUGGGUAUCUUCCCUUUGGUGAGGAAUAACACGAGGAAACUUGUGCUAAUACCUCAUAAGUCUUUACGGAGAAAGCUUUAUGCGCCAAUGGAUGAGCCCGCACUUGAUUAGUUUGUUGGUAGGGUAAUGGCCUACCAAGACUGUGAUCAAUAGCUGAUUUGAGAGGAUGAUCAGCCACAUUGGGACUGAGACACGGCCCAAACUCCUACGGGAGGCAGCAGUAGGGAAUCUUGCACAAUGGAGGAAACUCUGAUGCAGCGAUGCCGCGUGAGUGAAGAAGGCCCUUGGGUUGUAAAGCUCUUUCGUCGGGGAAGAAAAUGACUGUACCCGAAUAAGAAGGUCCGGCUAACUUCGUGCCAGCAGCCGCGGUAAUACGAAGGGACCUAGCGUAGUUCGGAAUUACUGGGCUUAAAGAGUUCGUAGGUGGUUAAAAAAGUUGGUGGUGAAAGCCCAGAGCUUAACUCUGGAAUUGCCAUCAAAACUUUUUAGCUAGAGUAUGAUAGAGGAAAGCAGAAUUUCUAGUGUAGAGGUGAAAUUCGUAGAUAUUAGAAAGAAUACCAAUUGCGAAGGCAGCUUUCUGGAUCAUUACUGACACUGAGGAACGAAAGCAUGGGUAGCGAAGAGGAUUAGAUACCCUCGUAGUCCAUGCCGUAAACGAUGUGUGUUAGAUGUUGGAAAUUUAUUUUCAGUAUCGCAGCGAAAGCAAUAAACACACCGCCUGGGGAGUACGACCGCAAGGUUAAAACUCAAAUGAAUUGACAGGGACCCGCACAAGUAGUGGAGCAUGUGGUUUAAUUCGAAGAUACGCGCAGAACCUUACCAACACUUGACAUGUUCGUCGCGACUCUAAGAGAUUAGAGUUUUCGGUUCGGCCGGACGAAACACAGGUGCUGCAUGGCUGUCGUCAGCUCGUGUCGUGAGAUGUUGGGUUAAGUCCCGCAACGAGCGCGACCCUCACUUUUAGUUGCCAUCAUUAAGUUGGGCACUCUGAGAGAACUGCCAGUGAUAAGCUGGAGGAAGGUGGGGAUGACGUCAAGUCCUCAUGGCCCUUACGUGUUGGGCUACACACGUGCUACAAUGGCAUUUACAAUAGGAAGCAAGACGGCGACGUCAAGCAAAUCCUAAAAAAAUGCCUCAGUUCGGAUUGUACUCUGCAACUCGAGUACAUGAAGCUGGAAUUACUAGUAAUCGCGGAUCAGCGCGCCGCGGUGAAUACGUUCCCGGGUCUUGUACACACCGCCCGUCACACCAUGGGAGUUGGUUCUACCUUAAGGCAAAGCUUAAAACCUUUGACCACGGUAUAGUCAGCGACUGGGGUGAAGUCGUAACAAGGUAACC